GUAAAACUUCCGGUAUAUCUUCCAAAAAAACUCUUGAUAUAUCUGCAGUUUGUGCAAUUGGAAGUGCAUUUAUCUUGUUUAAAGUAAACUUUCAAUGGAAAACAGCUAGGACAAACUACUGGUUAAUUAAAUUAUUUUGUGCAGUGAAUGUUUAAAAAAAAAUUUUAAAUUUAAAAGUUCUAAGGCGCCACUACCUAAACUGAUGUUUAUAUUCCUCUCUUUUACUUAUAUCUUUUCACUGCCAGAUCUUUCCCUGCAGCAUCUGAAGAGCAGUAAUAGCAGCUGUAUUCACCUGCUCUGCUCAUGGGAGAGUGAGAAUCCUGAGCCGGUGAACUUCACCUGGUUUAGAAACGGUCAUGAUUCUCUUCUGUCCUCUUCUGUGGGAAAAAACAGUGAGCUGUAUCUGUGUCAACCAGGAUGGGAAAAAAACGACACGUUUACCUGCCAAGCAAGCAUCAACAAAGCACUUUACAACAGGAGUAUAGAGGUGACGCAAAGCACAGAUUCUAAACCGAGCUUUCCAGUUAUUCGUGUGUCCUUUUACAUCAUCUUCAUCAUCUUCAUCACCGUCAUCUGGAUACUGUUAUGCAUGUUCAAAUGUAACGGCAUGACCUUCUGCAAACCAUCAGCAUGAAAAGAGAAGACAGGAAUAAAAUACACUCAAUGAUUUGUUUUUACACUGAUUUUUCCGUGUAUAUAUUUUCAUUGCUGAUAUUUCUGCUACUUUCUUUUUCCUUUACUCUAGGUAUUACUUCUAAAUAAAUGCAAUUCAGUUUAAAGGUCACAAGUGGUGCAGUAUAGCACCUAUGUAUAACCUUAAGUAGUGCUAUAGUAGUGUUAUACCACGUGUUAUGGUUUGCAUAGGUGCUAUAUAAGUUGUUUACUUAUGAUUACGAGCCAAUGAACCAUUUUUUAGCACCAUUUAUUAUGUGUACCCAUAAACCUGUAAAUAAAUGUUUAUUUAGAUUUUUACUUAUCCCAAAUGUAUGUAAUUUACAAAGCUUUAUCUUGUGCAGAUUGUAGAAACUCCUCUUUUAAAUAAACAUGAG